GUUUUGAAAAGCCGUAAUAUUUACGAUUUUCGUCAAAAUUUAAUAUUAGAAUUUCUUUAUUAAAAAAAAUACUACAUUAAACUCAAAUUUUUUUUGUCCACCAAGUACGACUUAUAAUGAACUUUCUAUCAAAUGUUCAAACAUUCCUGUUUAGUCUAACAGUUUUAUCCACAGAUUACCUACAGAAUAAAAAUUACGUACAAAACAAGUAAAAUUAAAAUGUUUAUAAUUAGCUCAAAAAUAGAUAAAAUAUUUUGAAAAUUUGACCACUCAAUAUUAGCAAAUCAAUGGUUACUGGAAACAUAUUAAUUGUACUAAAAUAAUAUUGGAAAAUAAGUAAGUUAAAAUUUAAAUUAUAUUUUGAUUACACAAUAAAUUUAUUUAUUAAAUUAAGAUUUGUUUCAGUUCAAUUUGUGCAUGGUGUAAAUAAUUAGCAUACUCAAUUAGGAAAAAAACAAGGCAGAUUAUCCAGUGAAAACAAAAUUAAGAUUUAUUUUUCACUAUCAAAGAAAACAAAAAUAAGAUUUAUUUUUCACUAUCAAAGAAAACAAAAAUUAAUAACAAGGAGGAAAGUUAGGCAACAAGUCAGAACAAAUAAAAAAUUACAAAACUAGAAACAGAUUUGAAUAUAACAUGAAACAAAAUGAAAGAAAUUUCAAAUAUUACGUUCUCCAAAUUGAUUAAAGACUUUCAAAUUCCUAAAUGCCAAUCAACAUUAUUAUAUGAAAUUUUUGAAGCAGCUAGAUAUAAAAACCCAAAAAGUUACUCAGAAAAUUGGAUGAUACUUUGUCUUUUAUUUCAUUUAUGGUAAGAAUAAAUUUGUAAUUAUCUUUUUAACCAUUAUUUUUAUAUUCAAAUUAUUUAAUAUCUCGUUUGAUUUUUUGUUUUGUGUAGUUUGUCUCCUUUGGGUUAAAAUUGUUUAAGAAAGCAAAAUGUAUUACCACUACCUUGUGUUAAAUCAAUCUGAACACAUUUAUUGACUGCCAAAUACAAAUAUGGAUUUGUUUUAGGAUUUUUUAAAUUGCUGAAAAAGAAAUUUAAAGAAAAUAAUAAAUAUCAGAAAAAAGGUAUUCUUUGUUUAUAUACAAUUUUCUUAAGGACAAACCUUAAUAUUAAAACUCUUACAUUAUCUUACAGUGGUCUAGAGAAUUUUGGAAGAGAAAUCAAAAACAAAAUUUGAAGUUCAGAAUUAGUCAUCCAUAGCCUUGUAUUUAUGCGGAACAGAUAAUGUAACACAUUCUAUAGCUAUUUUUGUCUCUAAAGGUCUAGUAAAAGGUUGGAUUAUUUUGUAUGAUGAUUUUUUUUUUUGAUUUUUUAUACAUAUUAUAAGUCUUACAUUUUAAGUCCUGAACCCUGAUUAUUAUAUACAUACAAAAUCAAAAAAAUAUUUAUAUAUUUUUUAUUUAAGUUUAAUAACAAAAAAAAAAACGCUUCUUUGAAAAUAAAUCAUUCUGGCUAUCACAUUUUCUAAUAAAUAUAAAUAUUAUACACUAAAAUUUCACAUUUGACAUCAUAGCCCCAUGCAAUGGAUUUAUUUCUCCUCCCAAACCUUGGUCAGAAUAUAUGCACAUACACUUAUUUAUUGAUUUCUUAUAUUAUAUAAAUAUUGUUUUCAAAAUAGGAAUUGAUUUAGCACAAUUAGUAGUCAAAGCCAUUAUUUUAUUAGAAGAUGCAGGAUUACAAGUAAUGAUACUGACUUGUGAUGAUGCUUCAAUUAAUAAAACAAUGAUCAAACAUUUAGGAAUUAGUAGUAAAUGUUUAGAUUUAAAAAAUAAUUUUAUAAACCCAUAUUAUGACAAAAGAAAUGUGAAAUAAAAAUAAAUAUUUUAAUUUGUAGAACAUAUUACUAUAACAUGUUUAGAUAAUGAUUAUGCACCAUUAUAACAAUAAGUGACUUAAAGAAUGCCAUUAAUGAAAAAGAUGAGUCAUUUGUCCGAGAACAAAAUAUAUUAAACUUAAAAACAUAUAUUGAUGACAUAAUUGAAGAAUGAAAGUGGGAUAUGGAUAUGUUUAAAGACUCAGAUUUUAAAGAUGAUGCAACGUUUAACUGUGUUUAUAUUAUUUGGCUAGGUAAAUACAAUAUUUUAGAGGAUAUGCACAUACAACUUACUUACUGUAAAUUUUACUUUUACAUUUUAAACUUGCAUAAGUGAAUAUAUAUUCAUUUUUUUAUUAUUUUCAAGAUAUUUGGCAACAAAACUAAUAAAAAAAACUAAAUGUGAAGUUUGUCUGUCUGGGAUAAGAAACACUGAAGGAAAAAUCUGCGAUUUCAAUGCUGCCUAAUUAGUUCAACUUAAAUCUCAAGGAUAUCUAACCCAUCCAGACAGUAGUUUUUUCAUUUUAGUAAGAUGUAUUGAAAAAUCAUUUCAAAUUCAUGCCACAAGUCUAAAUGCUUUUGAUGACACAGUUGAACAUUUCUUCGAAAACAACUAUAUCAUACCAUUUCCAUUUAAUGAGCAUAAAAGUGAUAUAGUCGAGUACGUUUUUAUGUCUUAUUUGACUAUGCAAAUGAGGCAGUACACCUAGAUGAACAAAAAACAAC